GGGUACGCAGUGGUUGAAUGACCUUUUCUGUCUGUAAUUAUAACCGCUCUGAUUAAAAAUCAUGAACUCGAGUAUCAUGCAUUUACGAUUGUACAACAAUACCCCUUCCAGAUACCAAACUCAAUCUACGGAUAUUCGUUUGCAACUCUUUUUCUUGUAUUUUAAACGUCAGAAAAAUAGAUAUUUUGAGGGACUUUAGUGGAAUUUUACGCAAUAACUGCCGUGAGAAUUGGGAUAACUUUGGAUGAUUCUGCAAUAUGAUCUGGACCAUACACGUGUCUUGCAAUAAUUAAUUGUUUCUCGAAAUCAUCAGCCUAUCAGGACAUUAUCUUGAAAACAUCAACGUGGAUGCAAAUAACAUCCUU
rnacentral:lncRNA from 1 species